UACGAAGGGGGCUAGCGUUGCUCGGAAUCACUGGGCGUAAAGCGCACGUAGGCGGCUUUUUAAGUCAGAGGUGAAAUCCUGGAGCUCAACUCCAGAACGGCCUUUGAUACUGGAGAGCUUGAGUCCGGGAGAGGUGAGUGGAACUGCGAGUGUAGAGGUGAAAUUCGUAGAUAUUCGCAAGAACACCAGUGGCGAAGGCGGCUCACUGGCCCGGUACUGACGCUGAGGUGCGAAAGCGGUGGGGAGCAAACAGG
rnacentral:rRNA from 1 species